CUCAGUAACACGUGGAUAAUCUGACCUGGGGUGGGGGAUAACCUCUGCGAAAGUGAGAAUAAUACCCCAUAGGUUGGGAAUUGCUGGAACGCAUCCCAGCUCAAAUGAGUUUAUCGCCCCAGGAUGAGUCUGCGGCCUAUCAGGUUGUAGUGGGUGUAAUAUACCUACUAGCCUUCGACGGGUACGGGCCUUGGGAGAGGUAGCCCGGAGAUGGAUUCUGAGACAUGAAUCCAGGCCCUACGGGGCGCAGCAGGCGCGAAAACUUCACAAUGCGGGAAACCGCGAUGAGGGGAUUCCAAGUGCGUGCGCUAAGCGUACGCUUUUCUUUAGUCUAGAAAGCUUGAGGAAUAAGGGCUGGGUAAGACCGGUGCCAGCCGCCGCGGUAACACCGGCAGCCCGAGUGGUGGUCGCUUUUAUUGGGCCUAAAGCGUCCGUAGCCGGCUCGGAAAGUCCUUGGGUAAAUUAUGCGGCUUAACCGUAUGAAUUCCAGGGAUACUACCGGGCUUGGGACCGGAGAGAGGCUAGAGGUACUCACGGGGUAGGGGUAAAAUCCAGUAAUCCCGUGGGGACCACCAGUGGCGAAGGCGUCUAGCUAGAACGGCUCCGACGGUAAGGGACGAAGCCCAGGGGCACAAACCGGAUUAGAUACCCGGGUAGUCCUGGGUGUAAACGCUGCGGGCUUGGUGUUGGAGGUCCUGCUAGGGCGUUCAGUGCCGUAGAGAAGUUGUUAAGCCCGCCGCCUGGGGAGUACGGUCGCAAGGCUGAAACUUAAAGGAAUU
rnacentral:rRNA from 1 species